rnacentral:rRNA from 1 species
CGAGUGGCGAACGGGUGAGUAAUAUAUCGGAACGUGCCCAGUCUGGGGGGAUAACGUAGCGAAAGCUACGCUAAUACCGCAUACGAUCUAUGGAUGAAANCGGGGGAUCGCAAGACCUCGCGCGAUUGGAGCGGCCGAUAUCAGAUUAGGUAGUUGGUGAGGUAAAGGCUCACCAAGCCGACGAUCUGUAGCUGGUCUGAGAGGACGACCAGCCACACUGGGACUGAGACACGGCCCAGACUCCUACGGGAGGCAGCAGUGGAGAAUUUUGGACAAUGGGCGCAAGCCUGAUCCAGCAAUGCCGCGUGCAGGAUGAAGGCCUUCGGGUUGUAAACUGCUUUGUACGGAACGAAACGGUGAGCUCUAAUACAGUUUGCUAAUGACGGUACCGUAAGAAUAAGCACCGGCUAACUACGUG